ensembl:lncRNA
UUUCUGGUUGGAGAUCCUUCCUUUGUGGAGUUUUCCCUGCAAGCCUAGAUGUUCAGAGGGUACCUUUUUAGCAACUGGAGAUGACUGCUGAAAAUGAAGAACAAGUUUGUGAACAGCAAUCCUUUAAUCAACCCACUGUGUUAUCUCCCACUCUUUCAGAAAUGACACCUUGCUCAUCCUUGGUGUCAGGGAUGAGAUGCAGAAGCAGAGUUAAAGUCAGGGAUCCAUAUGAAUGCUUGCCCUUGGAACAGUGGUCCCAAAAUGCUACGCCAAACUUAUAACAAUAUGCUUCCUAUGAAUAACAGAUGGACCUGGCUCUAUGAAAAAUAUCUCAAUUCAGAAAACAAUUUAAAAAAAAAAAUGACAGAAUAGCCCUUAUUCACUGCAGUCUGCCAGCUAAGAAAGCAUGAAGACAGGAGCACAAUAUAAAGUUCCAUUUGCUGACAACUAAAUCAAAAAAUGUCAUCCUACUGGGCACACAAAUACACAGUUGGGAGGAAAAUAUACAGGUGGGUACUGUACACAGUAUCCUGUUCCUUCCCACAAGGGGAGCUGAAUGUAUUUAAGGGCCUUUUCUUUGUGAGUUAGAAGCGUUGUGGGCAGAAAUGGUGAAAUGAUGCAAAGCACCGUUUAUAACCUCCAUCUCCAUUUCAAACAGUGGUUAGUUCCUGUGGCUGCGUCGGCUUAUUUAGGCAGCAUUUCUGCUCCUGCAUUGCACGGAUGGGUGUACAGAUCCUUUCUGAGCAAAUACUGAUUGUUUUGCAUUAGCAAAAUGCUGUUGUUUCUGAUAACAGGAAGAAAGAAAAAAACUACCCUGAACUCCCCCGAGACCCUGCCAGAUACUUGUGAUAAAUUGUGUGGGUUUAAAUCUUCUAUUGAGGGCUCCCUGAGGAAGCCUUGUUAAGAGUAAUCUUCGGAGAAUUAAGCAUGAGAAUAAGUCAUCGCUGGAGGAAUAGCACAGAAACCUCCAAAUCUGAAAUCAUGAGUGUCUGGGUCAGACAGCCUGGGUUAGAGGAUCAGUGCAGAAGUUUGGUGAUGACAGUAAAUUGUGUAUGUGAUGAGCUUAACUCCUCUAGGGAUGCGCAUGCAGGUUGUAUGUAUUCUGUAGUCUGGCAUACCCGUUGAGCAUCUCUACUAAGAUGAUUGAGAUUUCACACAGUAUUUUUGAUAACCCUAUCUAUAAACAGAAAGCUUGCUUUCUGUGAACAUUCAUACUCUCUGCAAAGCUCUAAGUUGUAUAAGAUGUGAAGUAGAAAGCACUGGCAUCAGGUUGGUUUGUUUGUUUAAGUUAUAAUUCAGACCCAGAAGAGGGGGCUUAGAGGCAAAUGAAUGAAAAUAAGCACAAUAUUCAUAUAAAUGCUUCUUAUACUGUAGAUAGCACAAAUGUCCAAGGAAUUAAGGGGUAUAUGUAAUUUUUACUCUUUCUCCUGUUCUCUGAUACUUCCUCCCCACCGCCAUCACUCCUUAUUUUCCAAGAACAGCCCAUAGGAGCAGUGGAAAAAUAAGAGGACAUUUUGUCUUCUGAUGAAAGGGUUAUUUUUCAUUUUCCAGACGUUUAUUUUUUCUAUGAUCACUGACAUUCUGUAGUCUUUAGUUGAUGUUGAAAAUGUGAAACACUCCAGAAACCAACUUUAAAAUAAAACUAUUGCUUAUGAAAGCAUUAGCUCAGGCGAAAACAAACUUACUCAAAAUAAUGUGACACUUCCUAUUUCUCCAGUCUUGCUAAAACCUAAAUUGAGAGUUUACCUUCUCAGUGACCUCUCACUUUCCAAGUGCUUAUGGUCGCAGUUAUCUGCAACUAUUCCACGUUACAAGUUAUGGCUGAAAUUGUUACUUUCUUAAUAAGAUAUUCUUGAAAAC